GACGAACGCUGGCGGCGUGCUUAACACAUGCAAGUCGAACGAAGUGGCGAACGGGUGAGUAAUACGUGAGUAACCUGCCCUCCUUUUUGGGAUAAGCCUUGGAAACGGGGUCUAAUACCGAAUAAGGGGGGGUGGGCUCGCGGCCUUUCAGCUUGUUGUUGGGGUGAUGGCCUACCAAGGCGGGUACGGGUAGCCGGCCUGAGAGGGUGACCUGCCACAUUGGAAGUGGAAUACGGCCCACGAUCCUAAGGGGGGCAGCGGGGGGGGAAAUUGAAGGAAGGGCGAAAGGGUGAUGCAGCGAGGGUGAGGAGGGUUUUAAGACUGUAGGGUUGUAAUGUUAGAGAAGUAUGGAGCGGGUAAGUAACGAAAAAGCGACGGCUAACUACGUGCCAGCAGCCGCGGUAAUAC
rnacentral:rRNA from 1 species